UACGGAGGGGGCUAGCGUUGUUCGGAAUUACUGGGCGUAAAGCGCACGUAGGCGGCUUUGUAAGUUAGAGGUGAAAGCCCAGGGCUUAACCCUGAAAUUGCCUUUAAGACUGCAUCGCUAGAAUCGUGGAGAGGUGAGUGGAAUUCCGAGUGUAGAGGUGAAAUUCGUAGAUAUUCGGAAGAACACCAGUGGCGAAGGCGACUCACUGGACACGUAUUGACGCUGAGGUGCGAAAGCGUGGGGAGCAAACAGG
rnacentral:rRNA from 1 species